GAUGAACGCUGGCGGCGUGCUUAACACAUGCAAGUCGAACGGGAAAUAUUUCAUUGAGACUUCGGAGGAUUUGAUUGAUUUCUAGGGGCGGACGGGUGAGUAACGCGUGGGUAACCUGCCUUAUACAGGGGGAUAACAGUCAGAAAUGGCUGCUAAUACCGCACAAGCGAACAGAGCUGCAUGGCUCAGUGUGAAAGACUCCGGGGGUAUAAGAUGGACCCGCGUUGGAUUAGCUAGUUGGCGGGGUAACGGCCCACCAAGGCGACGAUCCAUAGCCGGCCUGAGAGGGUGAACGGCCACAUUGGGACUGAGACACGGCCCAGACUCCUACGGGAGGCAGCAGUGGGGGAUAUUGCACAAUGGGGGAAACCCUGAUGCAGCGACGCCGCGUGAAGGAAGAAGUAUCUCGGUAUGUAAACUUCUAUCAGCAGGGAAGAUAGUGACGGUACCUGACUAAGAAGCCCCGGCUAACUACGUG
rnacentral:rRNA from 1 species